rnacentral:rRNA from 1 species
GACGAACGCUGGCGGCGUGCCUAAUACAUGCAAGUAGAACGCACAGUUUAUACGGUGGCUUCCUACACCAUGACCGGUGAUUUGCGAACGGUGAGUUAACCGUUGGUUAACCUCCCUGUAAGGGGGGAUUAACUAUGGAAACGAUUGCCUAUUACGCAAUAUUUUUAUUUUUUCAUUAAUAAUAAUUGAAAAGUUCAAUUGCAACACCACCAGAUGGAACUGCGUUGUAUUAGCUAGUAGGUGAGGUAACGGCUCACCUAGGCGACGAUACAUAGCCGACCUGAGAGGGUGAUCGGCCACACUGGGACUGAGACACGGCCCAGACUCCUACGGGAGGCAGCAGUAGGGAAUCUUCGGCAAUAGACGAAAGUCUGACCGAGCAACGCCGCGUGAGUGAAGAAGGUUUUCGGAUCGUAAAGCUCUGUUGUAAGAGAAGAACGGGUGUGAGAGUGGAAAGUUCACACUGUGACGGUAUCUUACCAGAAAGGGACGGCUAACUACGUG